GACGAACGCUGGCGGCGUGCUUAACACAUGCAAGUCGAACGGAAAGGCCCUGCUUUUGUGGGGUGCUCGAGUGGCGAACGGGUGAGUAACACGUGAGUAACCUGCCCUUGACUUCGGGAUAACUUCAGGAAACUGGGGCUAAUACCGGAUAGGAGCUCCUGCUGCAUGGUGGGGGUUGGAAAGUUUCGGCGGUUGGGGAUGGACUCGCGGCUUAUCAGCUUGUUGGUGGGGUAGUGGCAUACCAAGGCUUUGACGGGUAGCCGGCCUGAGAGGGUGACCGGCCACAUUGGGACUGAGAUACGGCCCAGACUCCUACGGGAGGCAGCAGUGGGGAAUAUUGCACAAUGGGCGGAAGCCUGAUGCAGCAACGCCGCGUGCGGGAUGACGGCCUUCGGGUUGUAAACCGCUUUCGCCUGUGACGAAGCGUGAGUGACGGUAAUGGGUAAAGAAGCACCGGCUAACUACGUG
rnacentral:rRNA from 1 species